ensembl:lncRNA
UGGGACAUCUGUAGCAUCAGUGGGCUGCAGUCUUUCUCUUGGGUGGUACUACAGUUCAGCUGCAUUCUUUCUCUUGGGUGGUACUACAGAACAGCUGGAGAGUAUUUAUCUUGGGUGGUACUACAGAACAGCUGCAGUCUUUCUCUUGGGUGGUACUACAGUUCAGCUGCAUUCUUUCUCUUGGGUGGUACUACAGAACAGCUGGAGAGUAUUUCUCUUGGGUGGUACUACAGAACAGCUGGAGAGUAUUUCUCUUGGGUGGUACUACAGAACAGCUGCAGUCUUUCUCUUGGGUGGUACUACAGUUCAGCUGCAUUCUUUCUCUUGGGUGGUACUACAGAACAGCUGGAGAGUAUUUCUCUUGGGUGGUACUACAGUUCAGCUGCAGAGUCUUUCUCUUGGGUGGUACCACAGUUCAGCUGCAUUCUUUCUCUUGGGUGGUACUACAGCACAGCUGGAGAGUAUUUCUCUUGGGUGGUACUACAGUUCAGCUGCAGAGUCUUUCUCUUGGGUGGUACCACAGAACAGCUGCAUUCUUUCUCUUGGGUGGUACUACAGAACAGCUGCAGUCUUUCUCUUGGGUGGUACUACAGAACAGCUGCAGUCUUUCUCUUGGGUGGUACUACAGUUCAGCUGCAGAGUCUUUCUCUUGGGUGGUACUACAGAACAGCUGCAGAGUAUUUCUCUUGGGUGGUACUACAGUUCAGCUGCAUUCUUUCUCUUGGGUGGUACUACAGAACAGCUGCAUUCUUUCUCUUGGGUGGUACUACAGAACAGCUGCAGUCUUUCUCUUGGGUGGUACUACAGAACAGCUGCAGAGUCCUUCUCUUGGGUGGUACUACAGAACAGCUGGAGAGUAUUUCUCUUGGGUGGUACUACAGAGCAGCUGCAGAGUCUUUCUCUUGGGUGGUACUACAGAACAGCUGCAGAGUCUUUCUCUUGGGUGGUACUACAGAGCAGCUGCAGAGUAUUUCUCUUGGGUGGUACUACAGAACAGCUGCAGAGUCUUUCUCUUGGGUGGUACUACAGAACAGCUGCAGAGUCUUUCUCUUGGGUGGUACUACAGAACAGCUGCAGAGUCUUUCUCUUGGGUGGUACUACAGAACAGCUGCAGAGUCUUUCUCUUGGGUGGUACUACAGAGCAGCUGCAGUCUUUCUCUUGGGUGGUACUACAGAACAGCUGCAGAGUCUUUCUCUUGGGUAGUACUACAGAGCAGCUGCAGAGUCUUUCUCUUGGGUGGUACUACAGAGCAGCUGCAGAGUCUUUCUCUUGGGUGGUACUACAGAGCAGCUGCAGAGUCUUUCUCUUGGGUGGUACUACAGAACAGCUGCAGAGUCUUUCUCUUGGGUGGUACUACAGAACAGCUGCAGAGUCUUUCUCUUGGGUGGUACUACAGAGCAGCUGCAGAGUCUUUCUCUUGGGUGGUACUACAGAACAGCUGCAGAGUCUUUCUCUUGGGUGGUACUACAGAACAGCUGCAGAGUCUUUCUCUUGGGUGGUACUACAGAACAGCUGCAGUCUUUCUCUUGGGUGGUACUACAGUUCAGCUGCAGAGUCUUUCUCUUGGGUGGUACUACAGUUCAGCUGCAGAGUCUCAUCUCUCCUCCUUUCGGACACCCCCAAUAGCGAUGAGUGUCCUCCAUUACAAUCUGGUCUCUACACCCUCCAGAUACAUUGUCAGAGCUAGAUAA